rnacentral:rRNA from 1 species
ACGGAAGGCAGCAGUGGGGGAUAUUGCACAAUGGAGGAAACUCUGAUGCAGCAACGCCGCGUGAAGGAAGAAGGCCUUCGGGUUGUAAACUUCUUUUAUCAGGGACGAAGAACGUGACGGUACCUGAUGAAUAAGCCACGGCUAACUACGUGCCAGCAGCCGCGGUAAUACGUAGGUGGCAAGCGUUAUCCGGAUUUACUGGGUGUAAAGGGCGCGUAGGCGGGGAUGCAAGUCAGGUGUGAAAUCUAUGGGCUUAACCCAUAAACUGCAUUUGAAACUGUAUCUCUUGAGUGUCGGAGAGGUAGAUGGAAUUCCUAGUGUAGCGGUGAAAUGCGUAGAUAUUAGGAGGAACACCAGUGGCGAAGGCGAUCUACUGGACGAUAACUGACGCUGAGGCGCGAAAGCGUGGGGAGCAAACAGGAUUAGAUACCCUGGUA